CUGGGAAUGUGGGGGCUGGCGACGGGAGAGGGUCGGCACUACCUCUGCUGGAGACGAAGAGUGGCGGCGCCCUGGGUAUUUUUAUCCCCUGGGCAUGGUGUUGCUCCUGCCUGCCCGCUGCUGAGGUCUGCUUCAGUUACACUUUGCUCACCCACUUACCUGCUUCACGGCAUUUUGGUCUCCUCAUACUUGUUUCUUACCUCUGAGUUACCAGUACCAGAGCUGCUGUGGUUGGUGGCUCCGCUGGCUCCUGGGCAGGACGCUUGGCUCCCUCUCCUGCUCCACCGCCUCCACACAUGCGAAAACAAAUGAUAAAGACGACGUUUUGACAGACAAAAGUGUUAGUUGGAGAGGGCCCAGACUUGUCACUAGUGUCGCUGUAAAUGGGCGUGUACAAGUGACGUGUGCUAUGCGAGACUAGGGCGUGGAGGGGGUGGGCGUGCGGGGCGGCCGCCAGUAUGAGCGGACGCACCCGCCACCAGUACGGCAGGAGCGCCACAACCUCCUACACCAAUAUCCUGCAAGACUCCGGGGGGGACAUCCUUAACCGGUGUUCGAACCUCUUCAACAAGUUCGCCUCCCGCGUGAGAGCCGUAUCGCAGUGCGGGGAUGACCGCGUGCCCCUCCACGACACCAGUAACAACAUAGUCUCCAGCGGCUGCGCUGCCUCCAGUAAGUCCUCCCACACCCAGUACCCGAUGCUGCUCAAGUACAACAAAUACGAGGAGUCUCCGCGCUACACUGACUACAAGUCCACUGCUCACUACGCCCAUCUCAAAUCAAAGUCUUCCAAGUUAGAUGGCCCGUCCUCCCGUAGCAAGCUCGGAGCCUCAUCGUCAGCUUACGAUGUCGGGUACAAGUACGGGUCUGGGUACGGAUCUGCUGCAGCCUCGGGGUACAGGAGCGGUCAUGCCUUGGCUCCCUCGGCUUCUUUCUCCUCUUUCUCCACUUUCAGAUCUGAUUAUGGCGGUUCGGACUUAAAUAAGUGUGAAGGUUCUCCCAGAAAGAGGUAUGGGAGCGGCAGUGGUCGACCGAUCUACAAUCGGACAGCCUCUGACCUGGGAGUGGACUCAGACUAUGGAUUGCGCAGUGCUUAUGUCUCUCAUUCUGCCCCAGCACCAAACUACGACAAGAUUGGUGCCCGAUACAAGCCUAGUCAAUUUUUAAGGAAAAGUAAUUUGACAGGAAGUGGUUGUAACGAAGAAGACGAAAGUAAUGACGAACUUUGUGUACUUCGAAAUAAUGUUAGCACAAAGAAAUCUGACUACUGGUCCCAGUAUGGGUCUAUAUCUCCAAAUGUUAUGGAAAGAUGUAUGGAGAACAGGAGUAUAAAACUGGGCAACUUGAGCCCUCAGCUGCGACGGCGUCAUGGCGACGGCGCUCUCAUCAGCGGCUCCGCACGCCAGCGGAUGGUCCGACCUGUGACGGUGCCGGAGACCCAGGAAGGUCGGGAGAGCACUAGCUCCAUCAUGAAGAGAUACUCCGGGCUCUCCGCUACCACACUGGAUACAGAGACGGGCAGUACCACUUCUUCAGCUACGCCAGAUAGUGUCGUCGAUGAAUCUACGCGCCGCAAAGAGCGUGCCCAGCUCAUUAACAUGUACUCCCUUCCCCUCAACAUCCUCCAUAAUAUCGGCAGCUCUCAUAACCGCAAAUUUCUGAAACGCGGCCAAGAGCCACUUGGUUCCAGCGACCCAGAUGGCGCAGGACGGCAAGGCACGCGGCGCUAUGACCAGGUCAAGGAAAUGGCCGCCAAGGUGACGGCUUUCCGCACCUACCAGGAUGAAGAGGGAUGUCAAGGACCUCCCCGGAAAGUGUUGUACGGCAGUGCCUCCACCAGUGACGUGCUCUCCGCCAUAGCCAGAACUUCCGCCAAAGGCACAGAUACCGUGUCCAAACGUAGCACGCCCGAGUCUGAUAAGUUUGUGUUAUACGAUCCUCCCAUUGUGUUCGAGAAGGCUGCCAUGCGUGAAAAGCCCGUCACGGCGAGCAAGCCCGUCAAGCCCACCACCCUCGCCCUCUCCAGGACUAACACAGUCGACCUCAUAGAAUCUCCCUCUGAAUCUAGAGCGAGACUAAACCUUAUGGAAUAUAACAAGCCCUUAGGUUCUUCCCUUCUAGACACCCCCCAUAGUCUCUACGGCAUUCAGACUCCCUCCUCGCCCACAGCUCCCAUUAUUAAAAUUUCUAACUAUAUAGAACCCGAUCAUGAAUAUACGUUCACCACAUUUAAACCACACCAUUCUAACAUUAGUAGUAGCAGCAAUGACAACAUACACAGUAGCAACCACAAGGACCACAACAAGGCUUCUGUAAAUAACAAGGUUUUGUGCGAGACAAAUUACGUGCCAGCCCUCACUCCUAAGACUCCACUCGAGCACACAAUGUCACUUACUGUGUCGGUAAAGCCAAAAACCUCGAAUGCCCCUACUGCCUCUUACACUAAAAUUCAUUCUAAGCCGAAGGACAGCCUUGACGCCUAUUCUGCGGCAAAGUACAAGCCCAAGAUCAGUGGGGGCCUGGAUGCGUCGUCUUCAGGCAAUGGGAAGAGUCUUAAGUCUACCUUGUCGGCGUCGACGACCUCGUCAGUGGCGGCUCACAGCAUGGCGCCGCCGCCGGCCAGAAAGUCCGGAGCCAUGGACCUGUUGGGCAUCAAAGAGGUGGGGGGCAAGAACAUUGUCAAGCACUGUUAUUCCUCACUCUACAGCUCUAGUAGCAGUUCACGGGCACCCUCAGUAGAAGAUGAUGAAGAAGGACAUCUCAUAUACCGCAAUGGCGACGUGCUGCAAGAUAGAUACAAGAUCAUUACCACUCUGGGCGAGGGCACCUUCGGCAAGGUCGUCAAGUGCCGGGACCUGCAGAAUGACCGGUUCCUGGCUCUGAAAAUUAUAAAAAAUGUAGAAAAAUACAGAGAGGCUGCUAAGCUCGAGAUUAAUGUGUUGGAAAAACUAGCAGAGAAAGACCCUUACAAUAAGCACUUGUGUGUUCGGAUGCUCAGUUGGUUUGACUACCAUGGCCAUGUGUGUAUUGCCUUCGACAUGCUGGGCCUUAGUGUGUUUGAUUUCUUGAAGGACAACAAUUACCGUCCGUAUGGCCUAGAGCAAGUUCGGCACAUCUCAUAUCAGCUGUGUUAUGCAGUAAAGUUCCUCCAUGAUAACAAAUUGACUCAUACAGAUCUCAAACCAGAAAACAUACUCUUUGUUGACUCCGACUAUAAUUUAACAUAUGACCCUAAAAAGAAACGAGACAUCAGAACAGUAAAGAAAACCGAUAUUCAGCUGAUUGAUUUUGGCAGUGCAACAUUUGAUCACGAGCAUCAUAGCACCAUAGUCUCAACGAGGCACUAUAGAGCGCCGGAAGUUAUUUUAGAGUUAGGAUGGCAGCAGCCGUGUGAUGUAUGGUCCAUUGGGUGUAUAAUGUUUGAGCUGUACCUGGGCAUCACAUUAUUCCAGACACAUGAUAAUCGGGAACAUUUAGCUAUGAUGGAGCGAAUCCUGGGACCCAUUCCUUACAGGAUGGGCAGGAAGACUCGGACCAAAUAUUUUUAUCAUGGCAAGCUGGACUGGGACGAGAAGAGCUCGGCUGGCAGAUAUGUCCGGGAAAAUUGUAAACCAUUAAGGAGCUACCAAACCAAUUCUGACGAGGACCACCGGCUGCUGUUUGACCUUAUUUCCAAAAUGUUGGAGUAUGAGCCAGCACAGCGGAUAUCACUAACAGAGUCACUAAGGCAUCCAUUCUUCGACAAAAUUCCAGCUCUCCAGCGGUUAGGUGAUUGUGCUGUUGGUGACCUCCGAGAACGUUCACACUCUCUCUCACGAUGUAGGCGUAGGAUUCGUGAUAAUUCAACAGGAUUAGCCACAAUUCUUGAAGUCUAACACUCCAUGUUGAUUCGUGAUCCAAUUUACAGGUUUCAAGAAGGCAAAAUCCCAAGAUGACAUUUAUGUUAUCACUGAUAACAUCAUAAAAAUGUACAAGUGGAACUUUUGACAAUAUUAAUUGACCCAGAUGCUUUUCAGUAUAGUUCACUGGAAUAUCUCUGCCUCUGAGUCAACAUCAUACAGAGAAGCAUCUCACAAAGAAAGUCGAUAGUUAAAUUUUUAUCACAAGUAAAACACUGUCAUGUGUUUUUUCCACAAUAGUUUGGGGCCCAACUAAUGUCAUAUACAGUACUUUGAAUAUGAAUAAUAUAAAUUGUAAGCCCAUAUUAUUUUCCUGUAUCCUGUAAAUAAUGAAAUCUUUAAUUUACACUAUUUACUUAAUGAUGUUCUGAAAACAAAACUACUCGUCCCAAAAUACAGUAUGGUACUGCUAUUACUCUUAGUACAUAUUUACAUAUUGAGUAAUGUAUUAUUCAAUAAAUUUUAUUAAUUUAAAUA